rnacentral:rRNA from 1 species
AUUGAACGCUGGCGGCAGGCCUAACACAUGCAAGUCGAGCGGAUGAGAGGAGCUUGCUUCUCGAUUCAGCGGCGGACGGGUGAGUAAUGCCUAGGAAUCUGCCUGGUAGUGGGGGACAACGUUUCGAAAGGAACGCUAAUACCGCAUACGUCCUACGGGAGGAAGCAGGGGACCUUCGGGCCUUGCGCUAUCAGAUGAGCCUAGGUCGGAUUAGCUAGUUGGUGAGGUAAUGGCUCACCAAGGCGACGAUCCGUAACUGGUCUGAGAGGAUGAUCAGUCACACUGGAACUGAGACACGGUCCAGACUCCUAUGGGAGGCAGCAGUGGGGAAUAUUGGACAAUGGGCGAAAGCCUGAUCCAGCCAUGCCGCGUGUGAAGAAGGUCUUCGGAUUGUAAAGCACUUUAAGUUGGGAGGAAGGGUUGUAGAUUAAUACUCUGCAAUUUUGACGUUACCGACAGAAUAAGCACCGGCUAACUCUGUGCCAGCCGCCGCCGUAAAAC